GAUGAACGCUAGCGGCAGGCCUAAUACAUGCAAGUCGGACGGGAUUCAGGAGCUUGCUUCUGAUGAGAGUGGCGCACGGGUGCGUAACACGUAUGUAACCUACCUUUAUCAGGGGGAUAGCCUCUCGAAAGAGAGAUUAAGCCCGCAUAAAAUCACAGCACAGCAUUGUGUAAUGAUCAAAUAUUUAUAGGAUAAAGAUGGGCAUGCGGAACAUUAGCUAGAUGGCGGGGUAACGGCCCACCAUGGCGACGAUGUUUAGGGGAUCUGAGAGGAUGGCCCCCCACACUGGUACUGAGACACGGACCAGACUCCUACGGGAGGGAGCAGUAAGGAAUAUUGAGCAAUGGGCGGAAGCCUGAACCAGCCAUGCCGCGUGCAGGAAGACGGCCCUACGGGUUGUAAACUGCUUUUAUACGGGAAUAAACCCAGAUACGUGUAUCUGGCUGAAUGUACUGUAAGAAUAAGGAUCGGCUAACUCCGUG
rnacentral:rRNA from 1 species